GAUGGGGGUAGUGAUGCCGUUGGUUCAAACGGCGGAGGGGACUGCGCUGUAAUUUGGAGGUGACGGAUAGCCUCCAGGACCUCAGUGAGACGCUCCUCCAUCCGUGCUUCUAAGCCGUGCAGCUCUUCUCGCAUGGUGUUCACGUCGACUUCCAGACGCUCGAUCCUUUCUUUAUUUGACAUAACCGGCUCUGAUACCA
rnacentral:lncRNA from 1 species